AAAUGUUUUACACAGUUAAACUAGUUUUACUAAAAACACCUGCACAGUCACAAUGGUCAAAAUGAAGUAAAUAAAUUUCCUACUAUUAUUUUCAUGUUGCAACUUGCUGUUACUAUUUCAGAGGCAAAUAUUGUGCUUUUUUACUCCACUAUAUUUAUUUGAUCAUUUUACUUUUCAGCUUAAUAAAACAAAGCACAGUAUAUACUCUAAGACUUCACUGAUCCUCAGUGGGAAACUCACGAGCUACCCAGCAGUAUGCAAACCAGUUCAACCUGUAAAUAUAUAACUUUACCAACUGCAACAUUAAAGUGAUGUAGACAAUAAUGUGUCAGUAAAUAUAAACCAGUAAUGUGAUAUACAUUAAUCAAAAAUUGCAUUUUAGCACAGCAAGACCUUUUAAUGAGGUACUUUUGGUACUUUAAGUACAAUUUUGAAUGCAGGACUUUUACACUUGUAACAGAAUAUUGUGGCAGCGGGAGGGCAGAGAGACGCUUGGCGGGAUGUCCCAUAAUGCCUGGGGCGGUGUGUAUAUAGUUCAGGUUGUUCGGAGAGUGUGUUCUGUUGCUGUGCGGUUGUACCGUGUGUGGAAAUAAAACAAGAAAAACACAAACUCUGGUCUCCGACCCUUUUUACCUCAGCCAACACUACAAUAUUUUUACACUGUAGUAUUUCUGUGUUUACUUAUAUAAAAUAUCAGAGUACUUCUUUGACCACUUUACAGAACUUCAGUGAGUGCACAACCUGGGUGUGUAUGUGAGAGAACACAGGACAGCGAGAGGGAGAUUGAGCUUUGGUCUGUGUUACAAUGGAUCUUUGGUCUCCUUGGAAACACACAAUAGAGGAAGUUCACAAAGCACUGACCUGCCCACACUUACCUGCCACUUACCAGCAAACCAGCCCUUCAACUGUUCCAGAUUUUCAGGAAGUGGAGAGUCAGCCGUGACAUGGAGGCAGACCAGCUGUCAGGGAGGUGAACAAAGCUCCUGUUUUCAGUCAACAAAGUCACUGUUUUCGGCCAUACUGACAAAACAAGUACAGGACUCAAUGGCCAUGGAUAUCAUCUUAGCUUCUCUGGCAUGUGUCCUUCUGGCCAUUUCUUUUACUACGGUGCAAGGACAAACGAAUGUGACGACCAGCCCUGGCUUAAACUUCACACAUGUGACUACAGUUGUAACUUCAUCCAACUCUACUGAAAAUCCAAACAUGACUGAGGGCACAGUUACAUUUAAAAGCACAACCCAGAACAACGAAACCACAAGUCAGUCCCCGCCUUCUCAGUCAACAACCUCCGUGACUGCUCUGACAAAUGGCACCUCAACAACCUCCGUGACUGCUCUGACAAAUAGCACCUCAUCAACCACCGUGACUGCUCUGACAAAUAGCACCUCAGUGAUGACGACAACACCUGGCAAUCACACUCCGACAUUUACUGCGCUGACAACACCAGCAAUCGAGACCACAGCAGGUUAUACAAGUACACCUGAUACUACAGUAAUUACAAUAUCAAAAUCACCUCCCACUGCCAGUACAAGCUCAGACUCAGAGGACAGAACCACACAAGGUAAGCAUCAGGCUGUGUGUUCUUAUUUGAGGUUUAAUUAAUGAUUUAAUUGCUCAUAAUUGUCAGUUACUAUAACUUCACCCUUUUCUUCAUGUGCUUCUAGGUUUGGGGUUAAACAUAUCGGAAAAGAAUCUGACUAUUGUCUUCAGUGUUAUACUGGGAGUGUUUGCUGUGGUACUGGUCGUGUUCAUGUUUCACAGAUGCAAACAAAAAGUCCAAUAUUUGCAUCAACCUCUUCACAACAAUGGUGACACAGGUAGGAGUUUUCCAUUUAUCAUAUGUGAGACAGAACCUAAUUUACUUAUCAUUACCUGUUAAAAACUAAACAUUUAAUCUUCAACAGAUGUAUUUGUGACAGACGAUGACACACUUGUAAUAUCUGGAGGACUUUAUGACGGACACCCGAUAUAUGACAACGUACCAACAGCCCCAGCAGACCAAUCUCAAUUUCGCCUCGAGUUCCUUCAUUAAAGAGAGAGAAGUCCCUUCUGACACUUACCAAACAUGGACAUAACCAGUUUUCCUAAUACACAUAUUACCACAAUUUCAAAACUGAAGUCCCUGUGAAAUGUUAAUCCAUAAAAUGCUAAUGACAGAGGAGGAGAGAACACUGCUGAUCAAUUUGACCUCAACUUUUACUUAUAUCGCUGCCAAUACUAGGACACACGAAUAUUAAAUACAUAUAUUAAGAGAGUAACACAUGACACCACCCCAGCAAUAUAAACUUGUGCAGAAUGAAUAAGAUUUCAUGUGAACACCAGUAAAGAUAAAUUAUUCCAUACAACAGUGCUACAACAAACAGAACAUUUUCCAAAGUACCUGAAAGCACAGAGGGUGACUCUACAGUCACUUAACACUGAACUCUGAACAAACUUGCCACAAAAGCUGGAA